GAUGAAGAACGUAGCGAAAUGCGAUAAGUAGUGUGAAUUGCAGAAUUCAGUGAAUCAUCGAAUCUUUGAACGCACAUUGCGCCCGCCAGGACUCUGGCGGGCAUGCCUGUUCGAGCGUCAUCUCUCCCCUCAGGACCCGUCUCCUGGUGUUGGGGCCGCCCCGCCGCCCGGCGGGGGCCCUGAAAGAGAGUUGGCGGGCUCCCUCGUAGGCCCGGGCGUGGUACGCACAGCUCACCUAGGGUCCUCGAGGGCGUCCCAGCCGUCAAGCUCGCCGUCCCCGCCGUGGGACGGCCAACGCAGCUGACCUCGAAUCAGGUAGGAGUACCCGCUGAACUUAAGCAUAUCAAUAAGCGGAGGA
rnacentral:misc_RNA from 1 species